rnacentral:lncRNA from 1 species
CUAUUAAGUGGAAAUGAGAGCUCAUCCAAAAAGCGACAGAAAAAGAAAAAAGAAAAGAAGAAAUCUGGUAGGACACUAGAUUGAUUUCACUAAGUGCUUGAGAGACUUAGUAAAAGAAACCAAUUCCUGCAUCUCACAAGCUUUAAUUGUUUUGUGCUUGGUCAAGUAUUCAUCUUCUUCUUCAUCGAGCUCUGAUUCUUCCAGCAGUUCUUCAGAUUCUGAGGAGGAGGAUAAAAAGCAAACAAAAAGAAGGAAGAAAAAGAAGAGCCAUUGCCAUAAGUCUCCGGAGACCUCCGUGUCGGAUUCAGACUCAGACAGCAAGGUGAGACUCAGCCCUGGACUGCUGAGAGCAAAAACAGCCAUUUUCCUGUCUGCUUUUCCUGUCUAGCGCUUCAGUUAGAAAGCACAUUUGAUUUCAUUUUUGGAUUUUUGAGACAGAGUUUUUCUCUGUAUAGACCUAGAUCAGGCUGGCCUCAAAGUCACUGAGAUCCAACCUGCCUUCCUGUGCAGCCUGAGUGCUGGCACUAAAGGGGUGCACUAGCACCACCACUCCCAGCCACAUUUGACUUUUGUACUUUGAGGUUCUGCACCAGUCGACAGGUGUAUUUAAUAUUGUACAUGUAGCAUCUUUUUAUCCUUUAUUCUUCAUAUGCAUGUUUGUAUGAUUCCAUGAUAGUGUUUCCUUUGUUUGUAAAAUAAUAUUUGCAAUUCUAGGUUAAAAAAAAAA